ACUCUAUGAAGUGACGUUGGCGGUUGUAGGAUCAUGUGAGAGCUUUCGACGUUCUGUAUGGGAAAUGUUUUGACGUUUAUUUCUGUUUAAAGUUGGUGUGCUUGUUUGGCUACAGGCUGAGAGAUUGUCCUGUUCACCAUGACACAAUAAUGUCCAGGCUGGAGUUUCUGAUUGCAAAACUGAGAGAGAGAAGAAUGCAGCAGCCCUCAGGACUGAAAUAUGUUAAGUGGAGGAGCAGGAGCAAUGAACUCUCUUAAUUUGUUGUUUUUACUGCUGAAGAAGGUUUUUUUUUCCGUUUUGUUUUCUGUAGAAUUUGGCUGCCGUUGAAGACAAUUACAGCUGUGAUCUUUUUGGUGCACAACUCACAUUAUUCACAUCUGAGUGUCUAGUGGCACAGUGUUUUAAUGGACUUUAAUCAUGUUGCAGUUGUAUCUGUGUGCUACCUAUUUAAUAACAUUUUUGAUGAAGGUCAUUUUGUGGUCAGAUUACUUUGCAUAAUCGUGGCACCAUUGUUUCGUGGAUUUUAUUUAUCUCUAACCCAAUGUUUAACACAAAGCAAUCUGUUACAGAUCUUACUGGGAGUGGAAGUAUUGUAAAAUGCAUUUAGGAAUUAGUAGUCCGAUGUUUUGUCAGACAUUAAAAUGUAGAUUUUUCCCCCUAACAAAUGUAGUGUGAACAAAUAAAUCUAUCAAACCGA